GACGAACGCUGGCGGCGUGCUUAACACAUGCAAGUCGAACGGAAAGGCCCCUUUGGGGGUACUCGAGUGGCGAACGGGUGAGUAACACGUGAGUAACCUGCCCUUGCCUUCGGGAUAACUUCAGGAAACUGGGGCUAAUACCGGAUAGGAAUCCUUUCUGCAUGGCGGGGGUUGGAAAGCUUCGGCGGUUUUGGAUGGACUCGCGGCUUAUCAGCUUGUUGGUGGGGUAGUGGCUUACCAAGGCGUUGACGGGUAGCAGGCCUGAGAGGGCGACCGGCCACAUUGGGACUGAGAGGCGGCCCAGACUCCGACGGGAGGGAGCAGUGGGGAAGAUUGAACAAGGGGCGGAAGCCUGAUGCAGAAAGGCCGCGGGCGGGAGGACGGCCUUCGGGUUGAAAACCGCUUUCAGCAGGGGCGAAGCUUGUGGUGACGGUACCUGCAGAAGAAGCACCGGCUAACUACGUG
rnacentral:rRNA from 1 species